UUCUAUGCAGUUGACCAUUAGUUGAAUACUCCUCCAUUUUCUUUGCAGUUGACCAUUAUUGAAUACACCUCUAUUUUCUUUGCAGUUGACCAUUAGUUGAAUACUCCUCUAUUUUCUUUGCAGUUGACCAUUAUUGAAUAAACCUCUAUUUUCUUUGCAGUU